GGCUUGAUUUCUUGAGAGAGCCUCCAGGGACAACGAGGCGGUCGCCAUUUGUGGAAGAACUUGAACCGGGCUGACUGAGGGUUUGAGGCCUUUUGCCUCUUGCUUCUUACUUCUUAUCCCGAGGAAAGCGAAGUUUUGCCAGCCACCGUCUUGACCGUCUUGAGGGCUAUAGCGACGAGAUCACCACGCACAAGGCGCCAACUCAUUUUUUUCCCCCGGAUGCCAAUAAUUUGCCUUGAAGGCCACUCCAUCGGGUAGCGAGUCCACUGUGGCCGUCUUAUGAUUACCCCCACUAAUAAUGAUAAUAACGAUACCCACCACGACCACUUACCACUUAACUUGUUAAGAGCUCUACAUUUGAAUUGAUUUUGUGGCAAGGCUAAUGAAUGCCUUCGCUAUGGCAACAUAACUUUCCUUUUGAAAAGGAAGAAUGCUUCUUCAAAAGAAUUAGUAGAAGUGGAUGAUGAAGACGAAGAAGAACCCUCUUGGUGCCUUUUAAGGAACCACCAGACCCAAUAGCGGCAGUAACAGCACCAACAACAACCACCAACACUAACACCGCUAAAGCAGUACCCAAGAUGAAGACGAUGUCUACCAAGGGGACGGCGAAGAGGAUUCCCUAAAAGGAUUUUUGUAAAACAAUAGCCCUCUUGUCAAUGGGCCCUAAUUGAGCUUUUUUACCUUUUUGAAAGAUUUAAUGAAAAUUUAAACACUUU